rnacentral:lncRNA from 1 species
CUUUGCAGUUUCAUGAUAGGGUAAAUGAUAAUAAGCAUUCUUCCAUUGUUUCUCCAUCAUCUCACUCUUAUACACCUGGAGUUUAUCCUUCCCAAGACUACCAUCCUCCUCCAUCUUCCCAGGAUUAUCAUCACCCACCACCUUCCCAAGAAUACCAUCCUCCUCCACCUUCCCAAGAUUACCAUCCUCCGCCACCUUCCCAGGAUUAUCCUCCUCCACCUUCCCAGGAUUACCAUCCUCCUCCACCUUCUCAAGAUUAUCAACCCCCUCCACCUUCCCAAGAUUACCAUCAGCCUCCACCUGCAAGAUCAGACAGUUCUUAUUCCGAGCCCUACAACCACCAACAAUACUCACCAGAUCAGUCACAGAAUUUAGGUCCCAAUUACCCUUCUCACGAAACUCCCCCUCCUUACU